rnacentral:rRNA from 1 species
UACGGGGGGGGCAAGCGUUGUUCGGAAUUACUGGGCAUAAAGGGCUCGUAGGCGGCCAACUAAGUCCGACGUGAAAUCCCCAGGCUUAACCUGGGAACUGCGUCGGAUACUGGAUGGCUUGAAUCCGGGAGAGGGAUGCGGAAUUCCAGGUGUAGCGGUGAAAUGCGUAGAUAUCUGGAGGAACACCGGUGGCGGAAGGCGGCGAU